rnacentral:tRNA from 1 species
GCCGCCGUGGUGAAAUCGGUAUACACGAGAGACUUAAAAUCUCUUGGGAGAAAUCCCGUGUCGGUUCGAGUCCGACCGGCGGCA